UAUCGGGGUUACUGGAAUUUGCAGUGUAGGGGUAAAAUCCGUGGAUACUGCAAAGAACACCAAGCGCGAAGGCGGGUAACUAGGUAUACAUCGACGCUCAGAGACGAAAGCUAGGGGAGCAAAUCAGAUUAGAAACCUGAGUAGUCCUAGCUGUAAACAUUGUCCGUUAAUUCCAUGGAUUUUCUGUGGAGUGUAAGCUAACGCGUUAAACGGACCGCCUGGGGAGUAUAGCCGCAAGGCCGAAACUCAAACGAAUUGGCGGGGAGGCGCACAACCAGUGGAGCAUGUGGUUCAAUUCGAUACGAAGCGAUGAAUCUCACCUAGGCUUGACAUAUACCUGCAUUCCGGCAGAAACGUCGGAAGCCUUCGAGGGUGGUAUACAGGUGUUGCAUGGCUGUCGUCAGCUCGUGACGUGAGUUGUUCUCUUAAGUGAGGCAACGAGCGCAACCCCUAUCCGGUGUUACUUGUGUCACCGGAGACUGCCUAGCAUUAUUUCGUUAGGGGGAAGGAGGGGACGACGUCAAGUCAUCAUGAUCCUUAUGUCUAGGGCUACACACAUCCUACAAUGGGAAGUACAACGGGUUGCAACACCGCGAGGUGAAGCUAAUCUCUUAAAACUUUCCUCAGUUGGGACUGCAGGCUGAAACUCGCCUGCACGAACUUGGAAUUGGUAGUAAUCGCACAUCAGCAGCGUGCGGUGAAUACGUUCUCGCCUCUUGCACACACUGCCCGUCAAAUCAGCAAAGUUGGGGGUACCCAAAGUCUACUUUUUGUGGAUUAAGGUAAAUCCAGCGAUGAGGGUU
rnacentral:rRNA from 1 species